AGCGAACGCUGGCGGCAGGCCUAACACAUGCAAGUCGAACGAAGUCUUCGGACUUAGUGGCGGACGGGUGAGUAACACGUGGGAACGUGCCCUUUGGUACGGAAUAACUCAGGGAAACUUGAGCUAAUACCGUAUGUGCCCCUCGGGGGAAAGAUUCAUCGCCUUUAGAGCGGCCCGCGUCUGAUUAGCUAGUUGGUGAGGUAAUGGCUCACCAAGGCUACGAUCAGUAGCUGGUCUGAGAGGAUGACCAGCCACAUUGGGACUGAGACACGGCCCAAACUCCUACGGGAGGCAGCAGUGGGGAAUCUUGCGCAAUGGGCGAAAGCCUGACGCAGCCAUGCCGCGUGGAUGAUGAAGGUCUUAGGAUUGUAAAAUCCUUUCACCGGUGAAGAUAAUGACUGUAGCCGGAGAAGAAGCCCCGGCUAACUUCGUGCCAGCCGCCGCAGUAAUAC
rnacentral:rRNA from 1 species